rnacentral:sRNA from 1 species
GAUUUCUUGGUAUUGGUGUGAGCAUAGCCUGGCAGGAGAGGGCAGAUCUCCGUGCAAAGUAUGUCAGAAAGCAGAUGGAAGCCAGGCCCCCUCCUGAAAGAGGCUCCUUGAAGGGUGGGCUCUAGGUGAACAUGGAGAAUGGGCCAAAUACAGCAAUUUUGAUGUUGCUACCCAUGUUCCCCUGAUGUUCUAUGUUCCUGGAAGGACGGCUUCACUUCCGGAGGCAGGCGAGAAGCUUUUCCCUUACCUCGACCCUUUUGAUUCCGCCUCACAGUUGAUGGAGCCAGGCAGGCAAUCCAUGGACCUUGUGGAACUUGUGUCUCUUUUUCCCACGCUGGCUGGACUUGCAGGACUGCAGGCUCCACCUCGCUGCCCCGUUCCUUCAUUUCACGUUGAGCUGUGCAGAGAAGGCAAGA